GACGAACGCUGGCGGCGUGCUUAACACAUGCAAGUCGAACGGAAAGACCCUGCUUUUGUGGGGUUCUCGAUUGGCGAACGCGUGAGUGACACGCGAGUAACCUGCCCUUGACUUUGGGGUAACUUCAGGAAACUGGGGCUAAUACCGGAUAGGAGCUCCUGAUGCAUGUUGUGGGUUGGAAAGUUUCGGCGUUUCGGGAUGGACUCGCGGCUUAUCGGCUUGUUGGUGGGGUAGUGGAUUACCCAGGCUUUGACGGGUAGCCGGCCUGAGAGGGUGAACGGCCACACUGGGACUGAGGGAAGGCACAGACUGCUAAGGGAGGCAGCAGGGGGGAAUACUGAACAAUGGGCGGAAGGCUGAUGCAGAAGCGCUGCGUGCGGGAUGACGGCGUUCGGGUUGUAAACCGCAUUUGCCUGUGACGGAGCGCGAGUGACGGUAAUGGAUAAAGAAGCCCCGGCUAACUACGUG
rnacentral:rRNA from 1 species